rnacentral:rRNA from 1 species
AGAGGUUGAUCCNGGCUCGAGGACGAACGCUGGCGGCGUGCUUAACACAUGCAAGUCGAACGGAACCUUCGGGUUUAGUGGCGAACGGGUGAGUAAAGCGCAGGUAAUCUGCCGCAAAGUCGGGGACAACGUUCCGAAAGGGACGCUAAUACCGGAUGUUGUGCGGAGUUCGCAUGGAUUCCGCAUUAAAGAUUUAUCGCUUUGCGAGGAGCCUGCGUCCGAUUAGGCAGUUGGUGAGAUAAAGCCACAAACCGACGAUCGGUAGCCGGUCUGAGAGGAUGAACGGCCACAAUGGAACUGAGACACGGUCCAUACUCCUACGGGAGGCAGCAGUGGGGAAUAUUCCACAAUGGGCGAAAGCCUGAUGGAGCGACGCCGCGUGAGUGAAGAAGGGCUUCGGCUCGUAAAGCUCUUUUCCUAAGGACGAAUGGUCUGUUAGAUAGACAGGGACGGUACUUGGGGAAUAAGCCACGGCUAACUACGUGCC